rnacentral:piRNA from 1 species
UACAGGUGAAUCCAAUUUGGUGGAGA